rnacentral:rRNA from 1 species
CCUACGGGUGGCAGCAGUGAGGAAUAUUGGACAAUGGGCGCGAGCCUGAACCAGCAAAGUCGCGUGAGUGAAGACGGUCCUAUGGAUUGUAAACCUCUUUUGUCGGGGAGCAAAAGACGCCACGCGUGGCGUUCCGAGAGUACCGGAAGAAAAAGCAUCGGCUAACUCCGUGCCAGCAGCCGCGGUAAUACGGGGGGUGCGAGCGGUGUCCGGAUUGAUUGGGUUGAAGGGGUGCGCAGGAGGAAGAUCAAUUCAGCGGUAAAAUUGAGAGGUUCAACCUCUUCGAGCCGUUGAAACUGGGUGUCUUGAGUGAGCGAGAAGUAUGCGGAAUGCGUGGUGUAGCGGUGAAAUGCAUAGAUAUAACGAAGAACUCCGAUUGCGAAGGCAGCAUACCGGCGCUCAACUGACGCUCAUGCACGAAAGUGUGGGUAUCGAACAGGAUUAGAUACCCGUGUAGUC